GCCGGAGGGUGCAAUCGUUAUUCGGAAUCAUUGGGCGUAAAGAGCGUGUAGGCGGCCGGUUAAGUCAGGUGUGAAAGCCCGGGGCUCAACCUCGGAAGUGCACUUGAAACUGGUCGGCUUGAGUUCGGGAGAGGGAAGCGGAAUUCCUGGUGUAGAGGUGAAAUUCGUAGAUAUCAGGAGGAACACCGGUGGCGAAGGCGGCUUCCUGGACCGAAACUGACGCUGAGACGCGAAAGCGUGGGGAGAAAACUGG
rnacentral:rRNA from 1 species